GGGCCGUAUCAUGUUGAAACAUCGGUUUUCGUACGAUCACCGAAGUUAAGCAACGUCGAGCCUGGGUAGUAACUAGAUGGGUGAUCGCUUGGGGAUACCAGGUGCUGUAAG